AAAUUGUAAAAAAAAAAAUAUGUAAAAUUAAUAAAAAAUGUAAACUUACCGUUUAAUAAUACAAAAAUUAUUAAAUCAAAUGUCCUUAAUGAAAAAUUGUCCAACGAUUACUAAAGUUGUACCGAGAAGGUUCUCGGCAAACACAAUGACAUAUUAACUUACUCAGUCCUAGUAAAAAAAGUCAAUCAAAUAACUACUUUUGAAUUAUUCAUAAAUCUAAUAAAUAUAAUAUAGCUACAGCUACAGCAAAUAGGUAUAGGUAAUAUAAAUAUAUACAUCAAGGUCAAUAAA